UGGGGAAUAUUGCACAAUGGGCGAAAGCCUGAUGCAGCGACGCCGCGUGAGGGAUGACGGCCUUCGGGUUGUAAACCUCUUUCAGCAGGGAAGAAGCGAAAGUGACGGUACCUGCAGAAGAAGCGCCGGCUAACUACGUGCCAGCAGCCGCGGUAAUACGUAGGGCGCAAGCGUUGUCCGGAAUUAUUGGGCGUAAAGAGCUCGUAGGCGGUUAGUCGCGUCUGCUGUGAAAACUCGAGGCUCAACCUCGGGCUUGCAGUGGGUACGGGCUGACUAGAGUGCGGUAGGGGUGACUGGAAUUCCUGGUGUAGCGGUGGAAUGCGCAGAUAUCAGGAGGAACACCGAUGGCGAAGGCAGGUCACUGGGCCGCAACUGACGCUGAGGAGCGAAAGCAUGGGGAGCGAACAGGAUUAGAUAGCCCUGGUAGUCCAUGCCGUAAACGUUGGGCACUAGGUGUGGGGUCCAUUCCACGGAUUCCGUGCUGCAGCAAAGCGCAUUAAGUGCCCCAGCCUGGGGGAGUACGGCCGCAAGGCUAAAACUUAAAUGAAUUGACGGGGUCAUAGCUGUUUCC
rnacentral:rRNA from 1 species